CUGGCCAAUGAGCAGUGAGCGCGCCUUCAUUUGAAAGUACGUCAGUUUGAAUGCUGCGGGACUUCAGCGCUACUGUCGCUCCACUCCUAAUCAAUUACGUGGAUCAUUACCUGGAUUAUUUUACAUCUGCAUGCCAAAUUAUUAUUUGAGUUGUGGGAUUUCAACGAAGAACAAAACAACAAAACAAAAAUGGGAAUAUGGACACAGUGGAAGAGUCAGGAUCUUUGCUCUCCUAACAUGAACUUCAUGUUAUAACUGUUAUCCUGGCGAUAUUAGAGAGAUGCUCAUCAAGGCAAGGUGAUGAUUACCAGAGGGAAAACAAAGAACCUGUAGUUGAGCAUCACCUGUGUGAUCAUGAGAAGGCUGAAGAACCAGGAGUGACAAGAUAUCACCGGCUGCUGGGGUGCAGCAUUAAACCCAGGGACAGUAAACUGGCUAAUAGUCUUUGUUUGUCGGUGUGUUUUCCCCUCAUGAACCAGACAUUUUGGAAAUGAAAAGUCUCCUGCCACAAGAUCUUAGGAGCCAGAGCAGAGCCAGACGAUUACUUGCCAUUUGGAGGAAGUCUGAUCUUGCUGUGUUGCACCUCUGUUACAGAUUCAUUGUCCUUUUGUGGUAUGUUGUAAUUUUACUUAAUACUACACUGUAUAGUUAGGAUUCUUAAAUGUUAUCAGAACUACCUUAUACAGAGCCCCCAAGGGUUAGGAGAAUGAAGAAGAAGACCACAACUCCCUCAGCUCAACAGCACAAUUUGUUGCUUCCUCCAUCCAUUUCAAAGGGGAAAUCUUUUGAUUUUGAUAG